AAAUUGAAGAGUUUGAUCAUGGCUCAGAUUGAACGCUGGCGGCAGGCCUAACACAUGCAAGUCGAGCGGCAGCGGGAAGUAGCUUGCUACUUUGCCGGCGAGCGGCGGACGGGUGAGUAAUGUCUGGGAAACUGCCUGAUGGAGGGGGAUAACUA
rnacentral:rRNA from 1 species